rnacentral:rRNA from 1 species
UACGUAGGGGGGCAAGCGUUGUCCGGAUUUAUUGGGCGUAAAGAGCGUGUAGGCGGCCUGAAAGGUCAGCUGUGAAAACUCGAGGCUCAACCUCGAGACGUCGGUUGAAACCAUCUGGCUAGAGUUCGGAAGAGGAGAUUGGAAUUCCUGGUGUAGCGGUGGAAUGCGCAGAUAUCAGGAGGAACACCGAUGGCGAAGGCAGAUCUCUGGGCCGUAACUGACGCUGAGGAGCGAAAAGCAUGGGGAGCGAACAGG